ACUCAAAUGAAUUGACGGGGACCCGCACAAGCGGUGGAGCAUGUUGUUUAAUUCGAAGCAACGCGAAGAACCUUACCUACGCUUGACAUCCUGUGCUAUAUCCAGAGAUGGAUAGUUCCCUUCGGGGACGCAGUGACAGGUGCUGCAUGGCUGUCGUCAGCUCGUGUCGUGAGAUGUUGGGUUAAGUCCCGCAACGAGCGCAACCCUUAUCGUCUGUUGCCAUCAUUUAGUUGGGAACUCUGACGAGACUGCCGGUGACAAGCCGGAGGAAGGUGGGGACGACGUCAAGUCAUCAUGGCCCUUACGCGUAGGGCUACAAACGUGCUACAAUGGUAGUGACAGUGGGCAGCUAGGCCGCGAGGCCAAGCGAAUCCCUAAAAACUAUCUCAGUUCGGAUUGUACUCUGCAACUCGAGUGCAUGAAGCUGGAAUCGCUAGUAAUCGUGGAUCAGCAUGCCACGGUGAAUACGUUCCCGGGUCUUGUACACACCGCCCGU
rnacentral:rRNA from 1 species